CCAAAUCUAGCUUCCCUUGCACGCUACUCGAUUCCCGCCUCUGCUUCUUCUUAUUUCGCCUUCUCCUUCCUCUGUCGCACGUCUCUCUCUCUUCUAGCAACAGUGGCGUCAUCUCUCUCUCUUCCACUCUCCCGCCGAUGUAGCAACGGCAAUGUUCGCCGGUCCAUGUAUUUCAACAUCUCAGAGACUAAGGCCAUUCUUCUAACAUAAUAUUCUUCUAACUCGCCAGUAGACUAAGGCUCAGAGACUCUUACCUGUUCGUCGGUCCCCGAGUUUGAUGCUGGCAUAACUUUCGUUUCUCCCACAGAGUUUCGCCUCAAAUUGAUUUUUGUGUGAUUUUUGGCCAGAGCUCUUUUCCAUUACGCUCUAUUAUUUUUGCUUAAAGUAUGUGCUUUUUGGGCAUUCUAUUUCUUUUCCUCAUAACAUGCAGUAGCUCUUUUCCAUUACUUUUGUAAUUGACCCAAUGUAGUUUUCCUAUUCUUUUAGCUGCUACAUGGUGUUAUUACACCUUUGUUAUUAGUUAUUUAAGUAUUAAUUUUGUGAUUAUCUGAAAUUUGAUGUUCUGUUUUCAAUUUUUCAACAGAGGGAAUGAUUUGCUCUAUAAGGAAUUGAGAUGCUAUUCUUCUAACUCUACUGGUGGAGGAAACAGGUAAGAGUUAUUAAUUUUGUAGUAAGUUUGUCAACUCUAUGUGCAUUUCAUUCCUCCUAAUUCUUACUUCUUAUAGGCAUUGUUAAUAUUCCUAAUUUCUCACCAAUUUUGUUGAAUACUGCCUCCUUCAAUCUGAUUAUUAAAGUUAUUAAUUUUAUUAUUAUUAUAAUGUAUGGUUCUGAAACUUGAUCAGAAGAACAUGUUAGUUCUUAGUUGACAUUUCUAAACAGGAAUCCGAUUUGGGACACAUAACCCUAGCAUUAGUCAUUUAGGACUUGAUCAGUUGUUUAACUUCCCAUCCUACGCGAAGCUAAUCAAGAAAUAGCUAAUUUUUUGGAUUGAUAAGUUACUUCAGUUAAGUAAUUUGCUAUGCAUUUUAACGGAAAUACCCUCAAAUAAUGCUUAUUUAGCAAAUCACAAUCAUGUGAUCAUUUAUGUUUCAAGAAAAUUUUUGGAAGGAAAAAAGAAAAAAGAAAAGAAAAUUCCAUAAAGAAAUAUGUUGUGUACCCUUAAAUUAAUACUGCAUUAGCUUAGAUAAGAGAUUAAAUAGGUUGAAAUCAGAAAUCUUUGGAAGAAGAUCACUUAAGCAGCAAUUAAAAGAAGAUAUUCUGAUAUUCCACAUUAACCACUUGCAUGUUGGAGGAGAUUACUGAUUACCUCAACAAGAUAACAAAAAAGCUUCAAAUCUCAGUAUUCUAACAUAAAAGAAGGUACAGCCUAAAUUGGGUGUACAAAUAAUUGAAAACACACAAUUAAAUUGGGUGGCACACCACAAUAGUCAACAAAAAAAUUAUUUUAACAUAAAAGAAGGUACAGCCUUACCUCACAAAGUCGAGGCGCCACCCAUCGAAACCAAUAUCAUUUCGGAGCCAAUUUAACCACUCUUUUACAUCUCUUCGUACAAAAUCCUGGGAAUGAUCAAUGUUUGGUGCUGCAUGAAAGAUAUCACCUGCAGGUCAAAAUAGAAGCAGAUAAGCAAUAGUGCAUUCAUGCUUUUGCUGCCUACCUGGUAGCUUUCAUGCUCAUCUUAUCAAAUUUCACACAGCCAUUUUAUCUUUCUCUUUAUACUAGAACAUGGAUCAAAAACACAAAUAACUCGCAAUUUGUUCAGCCCACUGAAGUUCAACUUGGAUGAAAGUAUUCUUUGACCCUCUCCUAAAGAAUUAUUACACAACCAAAUGGACUUCUGUGCUGUUCCCAUCAACUUUUCUCUUUUUCUUUAAUACUGAGAAUUAAUAACCAAUAUAUAUAAUCUUCAAAUACAGAGAUAUGCCUUAAGGCAAAUAGCACCCAAGAAUAAUCCAAUCAUAGAAAUAGAAAUAAAAACAAAUGGAUUUGGGACAAACUUGGGACUUGGGGAGAAAGCACUCCAAGAUUUAUAGAAAGUUAAAAAAAUACAUGUAUCCGUUAAUGUAUUGAAAUGGUCAGAAAUAAAUAAUUCCGUUCCAUUAUCUUUAUAAAGAGUUUGUGCAUGCAUUCAUAAAGGCGUAUUGAAAUGGUCAGAAAUAAAUAAUUCUGUUCCAUUAUCUCACUAUAUCUCUCUUUCACAGCAGUAGCGCACACACAUUUGCACACGAAUGUGAGGUUUAUAGUUAUGAUGAUGGAAUAGAUGUUGAGUUGGUUUGUAGGGUAAUUUAGGUUGAGUUGGUUAUUUUGGUUCAUUAUCCAUAACUUAUGAAAUUUACUGUGUAGCUACAACCGUUUUAACUGCACAAUCAUCGACCAAUGGAUGAUGUUGUUAUAUUUGGUGGUGUAAGUUUUUUAUCUGAUUAACUCUCUAAAUAAAUCUUAUUGAUUUUUUUAAUAACUUAUUUAUUUUAAUUUAUUUUCAUUAAUGUCAUGACAGAUGGAUGACGACCUCGAAAAUAUCAUAUGAUAAUUUUUUCUUACUCAUCAUUUUCUUACUUUUUGUCUUAUCUUUUUACCCACUUAUUUACUAUUCAACAUUUUUUUGCCUACAGGUUCGAAUACUUCAUCAGAAUAAUGUAGGAGUGGUAAUUCGUAAUGAGUAUGAACUAAAUUGUCUCCGUAUACGUGAGGUAGUGUAUCCUUACACCUAUUUCACAUUCAUUUUUUCUGUUCUUUUUUUUUUUACUUUUAAGUAGCGUUUUUUUACCCAGAAGGAGGAAAAAAGGUCUGAUGCUUAUUUUUUUAUCGUGUUCUUACACAGAAGGAGAAACAAAGGUCUGAUGCUUUGGCGAAUGCCAAAUUUAAAGGAAAACAAAAAUCAAAUUCUUCUACCCAAGGAACAAAAAUUAAAGAUUGUCAACUGGUAUCACUUUUCUCUCUGUUUUUACAAUGGAUUUAGAUGUUAUUGAAUUUAAAAAAAUUAAAGUUUCGUUUUAUGUAGAACGUUUGAUUUGUCAAUAUGUUUUUGGUUUGUCUCAUUUAAUAUUAUAUAUAUUUUUUAUCGUGUUCUUGCACAGAAGGAGAAAAAAAGGUCUGAUGCUUUGGCGAAUGCCAAAUUUAAGGGGAAACAGAAAUCAACAUUUUCUAGCCAAGGAACAACAAAUAUAGAUUGCCAAUUGGUAUCACUUUUAUUCCUAUUCUUUUCUCUCUGUUUUUACAAUGGUUUUGGAUGUUAUUAAAUUUAAAAAAUUUUAAGUUUUGUUUUAUGUAGAACGUUUGAUUUGUCAACAUGUUUUUGGUUUUUCUCAUUUAAUAUUACUUAUUUUUUUAUUUCGUGUAUACAAUUAAAUUACUGAGAAACUAUGAUUUUUUGUUUUUUUUUACCAAUUUUGUAGUUAAGAGAUUUAGUUUCUUUAUCUUAAUGUUGUUUUGUUACCAAUUUUAAUGUUACUAUAUGCAAUUGUGGCUAUAGUGUUACCAAUUAUAAUUAUAAAGUUGAUAAACGGUUGGGUAGAUAGUUCUGUUAAUGUAACACUUUAUUUUCAUUUUACAUCACGUUGCUAUAUAUACAAAGUGGAAAACGAUACGAUAUACGAUAAAUCAACAAAAUAAUAAUUAUUUUUUUAUGAGUUUGUGGUUUAGGCACAAAACUAUAACGUUAUAUCAAAAUCAACAUUGACGCAAUGUGCAAGGCUUGCUCCAAAAAUACGUUAUGCUGGGAAAGAAAAUGAGUGCUCCAAACGUCAACCGGGACAACUUGCAUGUCACAAAAGAGAGCGAUCAAAACAUUGUGACCCCGUUCAGCCUAGAUUUUUUCCUUCUUUACCACCGAGCCGUCGUCGCCGAGCAUGCCUAGAACGAGAAUCAAAUAAAAGGUCCCGCCUUCAACCAAUGACUUUGUCUACCAAAAUUUCACAUCCUGAAAUAGACAGUAUAGUGCCAACAAAUGUUUUAGAGUCAUCGUCAGCCACAAUUAUUUCACGGUGGUUGUCCGUGGCCAUCAUGAAUCAAGAAAAUCCUCCUCAAAAUCUUGAAGAAGGCACCCCAACAAAUAUCUUAAGGUUGUCACCUGUGACUACCAUGCUCCAAGACUUGCUUCCUCAAAACCUAUACAAAAGCACUACAACAGUCUUAGAACCAUUCUCCCCACGUUCCCCAGGGGCAUCGUAUAUGACAAACAUGUUCCAACAAAUGCGUAAUCCGGAUGAAGGCACCAGGUGUUUGAUUUAAGUUUUAAUUUUCUAUUCUCACACUUUCUGUCUUAUUCAUGUUAUCCUUUUAAAAAUUGUAUGACAUCUAUAAUUUUAUCUGUAGUGCCUACACAGUAGAAGGUGUUACUAUGGAUGUUGCAAUUAAUCCUCAAAACCAUGAAAUUCCAGAUCGUCAUUCCCUCGGCUUGAUGAAUCGAACAUGUCCUCAUUGUUCUGCCUUAUAUUGGCUUGCUAAAAAGUUAACAAAAUCAUCUGUAUCAAAUCCUCUCUUCGGUAAAUGUUGUUUACAAGGAAAAAUUAGACUGCCGCCACUUAUUGCACCUCCUUUAAUGCUUAAAGCAUUGUAUGACGGCAAUGAUGAACAAUCAAAAUCGUUUCGUCAGCACACACGAGAGUAUAAUGCAGCUAAUGCGUUUACAAGUCUUGGUGCUACUUUGGACUACAGAUUAAUUCCCGGGAGGGGGCCUAGAACAUUCACCAUCCAUGGAGAAUUACACCAUCGAACAGGAUCGCUUAUGCCACAGCCAGGGUGUGAACCAAUUUACUCUCAACUGUACAUUUAUGAUCCUAAUUCAGCUUUAGAUGUUCGCAGCAACAAAAAUCCUAACUUGAGAAGAGAUGUUUUGAAAACCAUACAAGAUUGUUUAUUGCAAGUAAAUCCAUUUCCUAUAAAAUUUCGGCAGGCUCACACAAUUUUAAGUGAAUUAGAAUUGACGGGGGUGAAUUUACCGGCCUAUCUUCACUAAAGUUCUGUAACAGACCGGCGUCGAUAUAAUUUCCCAACAAUCGAUGAGAUUGCGGUAAUAUUGCCGGGAGAUGGAACUGAAUCAAGUGGAAUGAGAGAUAUUAUGUUACAUUUAAGAGGGGAUAAUGGUUUGAUGCAAAUUAAUGAGUGUCAUCCGGCCUAUUUGCCAUUGCAUUAUGUGGUAUUGUUCCCUUAUGGUGAGCUAGGAUGGAAUCCAUAUUUGAAAUAGUGGAACGCUUCCCAAGGUGGACCUUCAUCUGCUCGAUUGACACAAUUGCAAUAUUACAGUUAUCAUAUGUUCCAACGUGACACUGAGUAUUCAACCAUUUUGAGAGCCGGAAAACUAUUUCAAGAAUUUGUAGUAGAUGCUUGGGCCGUUACUGAACAAAAUCGGUUGACAUACUACAAGUUGAAUCAAUCGAAGCUUCGUGCAGAACUUUACCAAGGUCUUACAGAUGUUUGUACAGAUGAGCUUGGUCCUGAACAAGUUGGUCAACGAAUGAUUUUGCCAUCUUCAUUCACUGGUAGUGCAAGAAAUAUGUUUGAAAUUUUUCAAGAUUCAAUGGCUAUCACGCGGUAUAAUCAACACCCAAAUAUUUUUCUACCUAUGACUGCGAAUCCCAAAUGGCCUGAAAUUACUAAAUCACUAUUGCCAAAUCAGAUCCCUACUGACCGUCCUGAUUUAGUGGCCAAUGUUUUUGAGUUGAAGCGAAAUUUUUUGAUGAAGGAGAUAGAAACAAACAACGUCUUUGGUAGAAAAGUGGCGCAUGUUUUUAUAAUCGAAUUUCAAAAAAGGGGGUUACCGCACAUGCAUGCACUUUUGUUCCUUUAUGGUUCAGAUAAAAUUCAAACAUGUGUUCAAGUGGAUAGAGUAGUGUGUGCUGAAUUUUCGGAUUGCCAAACUGACCCAUUGCUCUUUGAAACAAUUAUAGGUUGCAUGGUACACGGACCAUAUGGUGCUCGAAAUCCACAAGCACCAUGUAUGGAAAAUGGGGUAUGUACCAAGCGGUACCCUCGAUCAUUUGCUGAAUCAACAAGUAUGGACUCUGAUGGAUAUCCUGUUUAUCGUCGUCGUAAUACUGGUCAGAAGUACAUCGUGAGGGGGCAAGAAAUUGAUAAUAGAGACGUUGUGCCACAUAAUCCGUAUUUAUCAAGAAUGUUCAAUUUUCAUAUCAAUGUUGAAGUUUGUGCAGAGUCAGAUGUGUAAAAUACAUUCACAAGUAUAUUUAUAAAGGACAUGAUCGCGUAACAAUGGUAAUUGGAGGAAUUAAUGAGAUCCAACAAUAUCUUGAUGCUAGGUAUAUUGGACCUCCAGAAGCCACGUGGCGAUUGUUUGGUAAUCCUUUACAUGAAGAGAUUCCUUCAGUUGUAAGAUUGGCACUUCAUUUGCCUGGGAUGCAUCGUGUUGUCUUUAACCCUGCUGAAUCUUUUGAUAUGAUCCUUUCUAAAGGUGCACAUCAAAAAACAACUCUAACUGGCUUUUUUGAUUAUUGCGCUAUAAAUGAAUCAGCCCGUGUAUUAACUUAUCAGGAAUUUCCAAAAAAAUUUGUUUGGAACAAGUCUAUCGAUAAAUGGACUCCAAGACAAAGGGGUUAUGCAAUUGGUAGAAUGUACUUUGCUAGUACUAAUUCAGGUGAGCGGUUUUAUCUGCGUUUACUUCUAACUGUUGUUAGAGGACCUACUUCAUUUGACUGCCUACGCACGGUAAAUAAUGUUAUGCAUGAUACAUUCAAGUCAGCAUGUGUUGCAAGAGGACUUCUUGAAGAUGAUGAAGAAUGGAUACAAUGUCUUCACGAGGCUGCAAUUAUGAGAACGGGAUACCAAUUAAGGAGACUAUUUGUAGUAAUUCUAACGGAAUGCUUUCCAUUGCAUCCAUUUGAAUUGUGGAAGCAAUUCUCAGCACAUAUAUGUGAUGAUUUGGCACACAGGAUUCGUACUAAGUUUGGGAUUUUGAAUCCAACUGAUGAUCAUAUUGAAGAUUAUGGCUUAUAUUUGAUAAAUCAAUUGCUCCAUGAGUCGGGAAAGAGUUUAGUUGACUUUCCACCCAUGCCACAACCAACUGAAAAUUGGAAUGCAAUAGUUGGAAAUAGAUUACUGUUUGAGCACCAACAACUUGAGAAUGAAGCACAACAGUCUGAUGCACAAAUUAAUGUUGACAGACUUAAUGAUGCACAACUUGCUGCUUAUACUGCUGUCACAACGUCAGUAUGUGAAAACAAAGCAACUACUUUCUUUUUGAGUGGAGGUGCUGGGACGGGAAAAACAUUUUUGUACAAUACCAUUGCAACCAAAUUGCGUAGCUAUGGACAUGUUGUUGUUACUGUGGCUUCAUCUGGUAUUGCAUCUUUGUUAUUGGUAGGGGGCGCACUGCACAUUCUACAUUUUGUAUUCCUUUGGAAACCCUAGAUAAUUCAAUAUGUGGGUUCACUAAACAAUCAAUGCAUGCCGAGUUGUUUAGAAAAACAAAGCUGAUAAUAUGGGAUGAAGUUCCUAUGCAACACCGAUACUGUGUUGAGGCAGUCAAUCGCACCCUUCAAGAUAUCAGAGACGAUAAAAGACCUUUUGGGGGUAUCACUGUUGUCCUAGGUGGAGACUUUCGACAAAUAUUGCCUGUUAUUCCUAAAGGCGUUCGCGAGCAAAUUGUGGGUGCAUCAUUGAGACGGUCUUCGUUAUGGAAAGAUAUAUGUGUUUUGACUCUGGGUUUAAACAUGCGAUUAACUCACACAGACGUUCGAAAUAUUAAUUUUGCUCAAUUCUUGAUGGAGGUAAUUUUUCAUUCAACCUUGAAUUAAAUUUUUAUAACAUGAUACUUUGAAUUAAAUCUCAUUUUGUGAAUAAUUAUAUUUUUAUUUUCUAGAUUGGGACCAAUCCACAAGAAAUUGUGCAACUUCCAUCUACAAUAAACCGAUGUCAUAAUCUAAAUGAAUUGAUAUUUAGAAUCUAUCCACAAUUGGAUGUGGUUGGUAUAAUGACUCAAACCUUUCUCACUGAACGGACAAUUCUAUCUGCUCGCAAUGACGACGUCAGUGAUAUAAAUGUUGCAGCACUGAAUAUUACUCCGGGAGAAACAAUUACUUUUUUAGCUGCAGAUAAAAUGUGUGAAGGUGAUGAGCUCGAUCAUACCAUUAGGAAUCGAUAUCCUAACGAGUACUUAAACUCGCUGAAUCCUUCAGGGUUGCCACCGUUUAAAUUGGAGUUAAAAGUUGGAUGCCCAAUAAUGUUGUUACGAAAUAUUGCACCGAAAGAUGGACUUUGUAAUGGCACGCGAUUGAUGGUUGUUAGAUGUGCCUCAAGGGUAAUCGAAAUUCGGAUAUUAAAUGGAGAUAAAAUUGGCAAUUUAUUCUUCAUUCCAAGAAUAUCAUUGACACCAACAUCUUUGGACUUGCCUUUUCGAAUGACAAGACGUCAGUUUCCUAUCCGAUUAACUUAUGCUAUGACAAUCAAUAAAGCCCAAGGACAAUCUGUCAAGUUCGUUGGGAUUGAUUUGCGAACACCUGUUUUUAGUCAUGGACACCUUUAUGUGGCACUAUCUAGAUGCACAUCUGCGGAUCGUAUUACUGUCCUCCUUCCGGAAGAUGGGUCGAAUUGCACCACAAAUAUUGUUUACCCAGAAGUUUUAUUAUGAUAUUCUUACGACAAGUAAAUGGUAUAGUUUAAACAAGUUUAUUUCUACUAAAUUAUGUAAUCUUUUCAACAUUUCAACUUUUAAUUUUACAAUGAGGUUCAUUCUUUGUAGGAUUGGAGUGAAUUUGUCAACGAGAACAAUAAAAUAUAUACAAUGGACCUUUGUGGAUGGGGCCGACGUAAUCAGG
rnacentral:lncRNA from 1 species